rnacentral:rRNA from 1 species
CCGUAUAACACUAUUUUCCGCAUGGAAGAAAGUUGAAAGGCGCUUUUGCGUCACUGAUGGAUGGACCCGCGGUGCAUUAGCUAGUUGGUGAGGUAACGGCUCACCAAGGCAACGAUGCAUAGCCGACCUGAGAGGGUGAUCGGCCACACCGGGACUGAGACACGGCCCAGACUCCUACGGGAGGCAGCAGUAGGGAAUCUUCGGCAAUGGACGAAAGUCCGACCGAGCAACGCCGCGUGAGUGAAGAAGGUUUUCGGAUCGUAAAACUCUGUUGUUAGAGAAGAACAAGGAUGAGAGUAAAUGUUCAUCCCUUGACGGUAUCUAACCAGAAAGCCACGGCUAACUACGUGCCAGCAGCCGCGGUAAUACGUAGGUGGCAAGCGUUGUCCGGAUUUAUUGGGCGUAAAGCGAGCGCAGGCGGUUUCUUAAGUCUGAUGUGAAAGCCCCCGGCUCAACCGGGGAGGGUCAUUGGAAACUGGGAGACUUGAGUGCAGAAGAGGAGAGUGGAAUUCCAUGUGUAGCGGUGAAAUGCGUAGAUAUAUGGAGGAACACCAGUGGCGAAGGCGGCUCUCUGGUCUG